UACGGGGGGGGCAAGCGUUGUUCGGAAUUACUGGGCGUAAAGGGCUCGUAGGCGGCCAACUAAGUCAGACGUGAAAUCCCGGGGCUUAACCCCGGGACUGCAUUCCAUACUGCGGUGCUUGAGGACUGGAGAGGAGACUGGAAUUUACGGUGUAGCAGUGAAAUGCGUAGAUAUCGUAAGGAAGACCAGUGGCGAAGGCGGGUCUCUGGACAGUUCCUGACACUGAGGCACGAAGGCCAGGGGAGCAAACGGG
rnacentral:rRNA from 1 species